rnacentral:rRNA from 1 species
GACGAACGCUGGCGGCGUGCUUAACACAUGCCAGUCGAACGGAAAGGCCCUGCUUUUGUGGGGUGCUCGAGUGGCGAACGGGUGAGUAACACGUGAGUAACCUGCCCUUGACUUUGGGAUAACUUCAGGAAACUGGGGCUAAUACCGGAUAGGAGCUCCUGCUGCCUGGUGGGGGUUGGAAAGUUUCGGCGGUUGGGGAUGGACUCGCGGCUUAUCAGCUUGUUGGUGGGGUAGUGGCUUACCAAGGCUUUGACGGGUAGCCGGCCUGAGAGGGUGACCGGCCACAUUGGGGCUGAGAUACGGCCCAGACUCCUACGGGAGGCAGCAGUGGGGAAUAUUGCACAAUGGGCGGAAGCCGGAUGCAGCAACGCCGCGUGCGGGAUGACGGCCUUCGGGUUGUAAACCGCUUUCGCCUGUGACGAAGCGUGAGUGACGGUAAUGGGUAAAGAAGCACCGGCUAACUACGUG